rfam:Mesorhizobium sp. L48C026A00 scaffold0057, whole genome shotgun sequence.
UGUCAAGAGUUGUAGCGUCGAUUUUCGGCGAGCGGAUUUCUUUUGCCUGAUUUAGAAGGCGAAGGAAGAAAUG